CCAAUAGCGUAUAUUAAAGUUGUUGCAGUUAAAAAGCUCGUAGUUGAAUUUUAGGCCUGGCCGGACGGUCCGUCUCUGGCGAGUACUGUUCUGUCGUCGGGUCUUUCCUUCUGGUGAGUCGGUAUGUUCUUAAUUGGGCGUAUCGAGGAGCCAGGACCAUUACCUUGAUAAAAUUAGAGUGUUUAAAGCUGGCUUUUGCUUGAAUAGAUUACCAUGGAAUACUUGAAUAGGACGUUGUGGUUCUAUUUUGUUGGUUCAAGGACCACCGUAAUGAUUAAUAGGGAUAGUGGGGGGCAUUAGUAUUCAAUUGUCAGAGGUGAAAUUCUUGGAUUUAUUGAAGACUAACUACUGCGAAAGCAUUUGCCAAGGAUGUUUUCAUUAAUCAAGAACGAAAGUUAGGGGAUCGAAGACGAUCAGAUACCGUCGUAGUCUUAACCAUAAACUAUGCCGACUAGGAAUCGGGCGACGUUAUUUUCACGACUCGCUCGGCGCCUUAUG
rnacentral:rRNA from 1 species